rnacentral:rRNA from 1 species
UACGGAGGGUGCAAGCGUUAAUCGGAAUUACUGGGCGUAAAGCGUGCGUAGGUGGUUGAAUAAGUUAUCUGUGAAAUCCCCGGGCUCAACCUGGGCAGGUCAGAUGAUACUGUUUAACUCGAGUAUGGGAGAGGGUAGUGGAAUUUCCGGUGUAGCGGUGAAAUGCGUAGAGAUCGGAAGGAACACCAGUGGCGAAGGCGGCUACCUGGCCUAAUACUGACGCUGAUGCACGAAAGCGUGGGUAGCAAACAGG